rnacentral:rRNA from 1 species
AUUGAACGCUGGCGGCAUGCCUUACACAUGCAAGUCGAACGGUAACAGGUCUUCGGAUGCUGACGAGUGGCGAACGGGUGAGUAAUACAUCGGAACGUGCCCGAUCGUGGGGGAUAACGAAGCGAAAGCUUUGCUAAUACCGCAUAAGAUCUACGGAUGAAAGCAGGGGACCGCAAGGCCUUGCGCGAACGGAGCGGCCGAUGGCAGAUUAGGUAGUUGGUGGGAUAAAAGCUUACCAAGCCGACGAUCUGUAGCUGGUCUGAGAGGACGACCAGCCACACUGGGACUGAGACACGGCCCAGACUCCUACGGGAGGCAGCAGUGGGGAAUUUUGGACAAUGGGCGAAAGCCUGAUCCAGCCAUGCCGCGUGCAGGAUGAAGGCCUUCGGGUUGUAAACUGCUUUUGUACGGAACGAAAAAACUCUGGUUAAUACCUGGGGUCCAUGACGGUACCGUAAGAAUAAGCACCGGCUAACUACGUG